rnacentral:rRNA from 1 species
AGCUCCAAUAGCGUAUAUUAAAGUUGUUGCAGUUAAAAAGCUCGUAGUUGGAUUUCUGCAAAAGGCAUUCGGUCCGCUCUUAUAGAGUGUGCACUCGCUUUGACUUUUGCAUCCUUCUGGGGAACACUUCGGUGGAAUCCAGAUCUUUUACUUUGAGAAAAUUAGAGUGUUUCAAGCAGGCAUUUGCCUUGAAUACUGCAGCAUGGAAUAAUAAUAUAGGACUUAAGUUCUAUUUUGUUGGUUUCUAGGACUUGAGUAAUGAUUAAUAGGGACAGUUGGGGGCAUUCGUAUUUAACUGUCAGAGGUGAAAUUCUUAGAUUUGUUAAAGACGAACUACUGCGAAAGCAUUUGCCAAGGAUGUUUUCA